rnacentral:rRNA from 1 species
ACAGCAGUAGCCGCGGUAAUACGUAGGUGGCAAGCGUUGUCCGGAAUGAUUGGGCGUAAAGGGCGCGCAGGCGGCUGUGUAAGUCUGUCUAGAAAGUGCGGGGCUAAACCCCGUGAGAGGAUGGAAACUGGACAGCUGAGAGUGUCGGAGAGGAAAGCGGAAUUCCUAGUGUAGCGGUGAAAUGCGUAGAUAUUAGGAGGAACACCGGUGGCGAAAGCGGCUUUCUGGACGACAACUGACGCUGAGGCGCGAAAGCCAGGGGAGCAGACGGGAUUAGAUACCCCUGUAGUCCCUGUCUCUUAUAC